UUCGCAAUGCCCGAAAGGGUGACGAAGAGACGCCGCGUGCGGGAAGAAGGCCUUCGGGUUGUAAACCGCUGUCGGGAGUUAGGAAGUGCAAGGAUGUUAAUAGCGUCUUUGCUUGACUAAGGCUCCGGAGGAAGCCACGGCUAACUCUGUGCCGGCAGCCGCGGUAAUACAGAGGCGGCAAGCGUUGUUCGGAAUUAUUGGGCGUAAAGAGCACGUAGGCGGCCGUGUAAGUCGGUUGUGAAAGCCUUCCGCUCAACGGAAGAACGGCAUCCGAUACUGCAUGGCUUGAGUGCGGGAGGGGAGAGUGGAACUUCUGGUGGAGCGGUGAAAUGCGUAGAUAUCAGAAGGAACACCGGCGGCGAAGGCGACUCUCUGGUCCGUAACUGACGCUGAGUGUGCGAAAGCUAGGGGAGCAAACGGGAUUAGAUACCCCGGUAGUCCUAGCCGUAAACGAUGGGCACUAAGUAGAGGGGUUUU
rnacentral:rRNA from 1 species